rnacentral:rRNA from 1 species
GACGAACGCUGGCGGCGUGCUUAACACAUGCAAGUCGAACGGAAAGGCCCUGCUUGCAGGGUACUCGAGUGGCGAACGGGUGAGUAACACGUGGGUGAUCUGCCCUGCACUUCGGGAUAAGCCUGGGAAACUGGGUCUAAUACCGGAUAGGAGCCAUUUUUAGUGUGAUGGUUGGAAAGUUUUUUCGGUGUAGGAUGAGCUCGCGGCCUAUCAGCUUGUUGGUGGGGUAAUGGCCUACCAAGGCGGCGACGGGUAGCCGGCCUGAGAGGGUGGACGGCCACAUUGGGACUGAGAUACGGCCCAGACGCCUACGGGAGGCAGCAGUGGGGAAUAUUGCACAAGGGGCGCAAGCCUGAUGCAGCGACGCCGCGGGGGGGAUGACGGCCUUCGGGUUGUAAACUCCUUUCGCUAGGGACGAAGCUUUUUGUGACGGUACCUAGAGAAGAAGCACCGGCUAACUACGUG